GUAGUCUCGCACAGAUGCAUAUCAAUAAGCGGAGGAAAAGAAACUAACAAGGAUUCCCCUAGUACGGCGAGUGAAGCGGGAAGAGCUCAAAUUUGAAAUCUUAAAGGGUUUCCCUUUACGAAUUGUAGUUUAAAGAAGUGUUUUCUGUUCGAGGUUUUGGUAAAAGUUCUUUGGAAUAGGACAUCAUAGAGGGUGAGAAUCCCGUAUUUGACCUUUACUUUCAACUUUGUGAUACACUUUCAAAGAGUCGGAUUGUUAGGGAAUGCAGUCCAAAAUGGGUGGUAAAUUUCAUCUAAAGCUAAAUAUUGGCGAGAGACCGAUAGCGAACAAGUACCGUGAGGGAAAGAUGAAAAGAACUUUGAAAAGAGAGUUAAACAGUACGUGAAAUUGUCAAAAGGGAAGCGUUUGACACCAGUGUUGUUUUUCUGAAAAUCAAUUAAAGAACUGUUUAUGCUAAGCUGUUUAGACUUUAUCAGCUAUCUGUUUAGUUUUGAGCUUUUCUUUAAUGCACUUUUCAGUUAACAAGUCAACAUCAAUUUCUUUUGCUGUAAAAAAGCUUGAGGAAGGUGGCUUGAGAUUCGUCUUAAGUGUUUAUAGCCUCUUGCCUAUGCAGUCGGAGAGAUUGAGGUCUGCAGCGUAGAUCCUUCGGGGCUAAAUGCAUUUGUGCUAAGUUAUAGCAUUUUAUAGACAACUUGUUGACUAUGAUUUGUCUUGUAGCUUACUCGCUUAUGUUAUUUUACCUACGCUUAGGAUGUUGAUCUGUAGUGCGUGCGC
rnacentral:rRNA from 1 species